rnacentral:rRNA from 1 species
UGGGGAAUAUUGCACAAUGGGCGAAAGCCUGAUGCAGCGACGCCGCGUGAGGGAUGACGGCCUUCGGGUUGUAAACCUCUUUCAGUAGGGACGAAGCGCAAGUGACGGUACCUGCAGAAGAAGCACCGGCUAACUACGUGCCAGCAGCCGCGGUAAUACGUAGGGUGCGAGCGUUGUCCGGAAUUACUGGGCGUAAAGAGCUCGUAGGCGGUUUGUCACGUCGUCGUUGGAAUCCUAGGGCUUAACCCUGGACGUGCAGGCGAUACGGGCUGACUUGAGUACUACAGGGGAGACUGGAAUUUCUGGUGUAGCGGUGGAAUGCACAGAUAUCAGGAAGAACACCGAUGGCGAAGGCAGGUCUCUGGGUAGUAACUGACGCUGAGGAGCGAAAGCAUGGGUAGCGAACAGG